rnacentral:rRNA from 1 species
CACGACGUAUGACGACGUCUGACGGAGCAACGCCGCGUGAGCGAUGAAGGCCUUCGGGUCGUAAAGCUCUGUUGUCAGGGAAGAACAAGUACCGGAGUAACUGCCGGUACCUUGACGGUACCUGACCAGAAAGCCACGGCUAACUACGUGCCAGCAGCCGCGGUAAUACGUAGGUGGCAAGCGUUGUCCGGAAUUAUUGGGCGUAAAGCGCGCGCAGGCGGUUCCUUAAGUCUGAUGUGAAAGCCCCCGGCUCAACCGGGGAGGGUCAUUGGAAACUGGGGAACUUGAGUGCAGAAGAGGAGAGCGGAAUUCCACGUGUAGCGGUGAAAUGCGUAGAGAUGUGGAGGAACACCAGUGGCGAAGGCGGCUCUCUGGUCUGUAACUGACGCUGAGGCGCGAAAGCGUGGGGAGCGAACAGGAUUAGAUACCCUGGUAGUCCACGCCGUAAACGAUGAGUGCUAAGUGUUAGAGGGUUUCCGCCCUUUAGUGCUGCAGCAAACGCAUUAAGCACUCCGCCUGGGGAGUACGGCCGCAAGGCUGAAACUCAAAUGAAAUUGACGGCACC